UUCCACUAUGCUACCCAUCUACCCUUCCAGGUUGUGCCUCAAUCAUAAAAAAUAACAGCAUCCUUGUGCAUAAAUGAAUGGAGAGCAGUUGAAGAUUAUGUAGUUGGAAAAAUUGCUCCGAUUUAUGAAAAGUUAUAGUUGCUUCUAAGAGAUUGUGAGAAAACCGUGUGAAAAAAAUCAUGUGAGAGAGAGAAAGAAAAUUGUUAUUGUUAAAAUAACAGUGUGAGAGAUUAUAUUUUAAUUUUGUGACAUUCUGUAUAAAUUAAAUUGAAUAAAUCCGAAUGUUAGUGGGUGAAGUCUGAAUGGGUGAAUGUUAGUGGGUGAAGGCUGAAUAAACAGACGUUAAAAUAGAGGAAUAUUCUGUUAAAAAAUUAACGGUAAUUUAGAUGCUGUUAAACUGGUUCUUUAUAUAAUA
rnacentral:lncRNA from 1 species